UACUACUACAGUUCAAAGUGAGAGAGUU
rnacentral:piRNA from 1 species